rnacentral:piRNA from 1 species
UCCUUCUACGUGCAUACUAGC